UAAGGAAUAUUGGUCAAUGGAGGCAACUCUGAACCAGCCAUGCCGCGUGCAGGAAGACAGCCCUCUGGGUCGUAAACUGCUUUUAUUCGGGAAUAAACCCAUCUACGUGUAGAUGGCUGAAUGUACCGAAGGAAUAAGGAUCGGCUAACUCCGUGCCAGCAGCCGCGGUAAUACGGAGGAUCCAAGCGUUAUCCGGAUUUAUUGGGUUUAAAGGGUGCGUAGGCGGCUUAUUAAGUCAGGGGUGAAAGACGGUGGCUCAACCAUCGCAGUGCCUUUGAUACUGAUGAGCUUGAAUAUACUAGAGGUAGGCGGAAUGUGACAAGUAGCGGUGAAAUGCAUAGAUAUGUCACAGAACACCGAUUGCGAAGGCAGCUUACUAUGGUAUUAUUGACGCUGAGGCACGAAAGCGUGGGGAUCAAACAGG
rnacentral:rRNA from 1 species